rnacentral:rRNA from 1 species
GAUGAACGCUGGCGGCGUGCCUAACACAUGCAAGUCGAACGGAGUCCAGCCUUAGAGACCUUCGGGUCAAAGAGGGGAAGACUGAGUGGCGGACGGGUGAGUAACACGUGGGCAACCUGGCUCAUAGAGGGGGAUAACAGAGAGAAAUUUCUGCUAAUACCGCAUAAGCACACACUGCCGCAUGGCAGAGAGUGAAAAGAGAAUCGUUAUGGGGUGGAACCGUGUCUGAUUAGCCAGUUGGCAGGGUAAGAGCCUACCAAAGCGACGAUCAGUAGCCGAUUUGAGAGGAUGAACGGCCACAUUGGGACUGAGACACGGCCCAAACUCCUACGGGAGGCAGCAGUGGGGGAUAUUGCAAAAUGGGGGGAACCCUGAUGCAGCGACGCCGCGUGAGUGAAGAAGUAUUUCGGUAUGUAAAGCUCUAUCAGCAGGGAAGAUAAUGACAGUACCUGAAUAAGAAGCCCCGGCUAACUACGUG